GACGAACCGUGCGAACGUUAUUCGGAAUCACUGGGCUUAAAGCGCGUGUAGGCGGGCGGGAACGUCGGUUGCUGAAAGCCCCCGGCUCAACCGGGGAACGGGCGCCGAAACGACCCGCCUCGAGGGACGUAGGGGGACCUGGAACUUCCGGUGGAGCGGUGAAAUGCGUUGAGAUCGGAAGGAACGCCCGUGGCGAAAGCGAGGUCCUGGACGUCUGCUGACGCUGAGACGCGAAAGCCAGGGGAGCGAACGGG
rnacentral:rRNA from 1 species